rnacentral:lncRNA from 1 species
UCGGUCACAUGCAUAAAAGUUUAUAAAAACAAGUAUCAAUUCAAAAUAAUUUCAUUUAUUCAAGGAAAAAAAACUUAAUAUCCAAAAUAAAUCGCCAACUAAUAAUCCAAAACAUAAAGGAAAAUUGUUCAAAAUCAGCCAAAAAACAAGGUGGGGUUCGGCCACUAGGUGGAAUUCAGCCCCAAAUGUCUUAUUUUAACUGAAAAAUAAGUCUAUGUCUAAGAUUCUAAUCUUCCAUAGGAGUGGUAUCCUCCUGAA